GACGAACCGAGCGAACGUUGUUCGGAAUAACUGGGCUUAAAGGGCGCGUAGGCGGGCUGUCAAGUUUGGGGUGAAAUGCCACGGCUCAACCGUGGAACUGCCUCAAAUACUGACGGUCUCGAGGGAGGUAGGGCGAGCGGAACGGAUGGUGGAGCGGUGAAAUGCGUUGAUAUCGAUCCGGAACUCCGGUGCGAAGGCGGC
rnacentral:rRNA from 1 species